CAAGACAACUUUACGGAGUUGACGAUUGACGGAGCGAAGCGACGUCAAAGCGUUCAUUAAAGUCGAGUUGGCUUAGGGAUACGUUCGUUGGGUAGGGGAGCGUUCUGUAAGCCUGUGAAGGUGUGUCGUGAGGCAUGCUGGAGGUAUCAGAAGUGCGAAUGCUGACAUAAGUAACGAUAAAGCGGGUGAAAAGCCCGCUCGCCGGAAGACCAAGGGUUCCUGUCCAACGUUAAUCGGGGCAGGGUGAGUCGACCCCUAAGGCGAGGCCGAAAGGCGUAGUCGAUGGGAAACGGGUUAAUAUUCCCGUACUUGGUGUUACUGCGAAGGGGGGACGGAGAAGGCUAUGUUGGCCGGGCGACGGUUGUCCCGGUUUAAGCGUGUAGGUGUGUGUUCCAGGUAAAUCCGGUUCACUUUAACACUGAGGCGUGACGACGAGGCACUACGGUGCUGAAGCAACAAAUGCCCUGCUUCCAGGAAAAGCCUCUAAGCAUCAGGUAACACGAAAUCGUACCCCAAACCGACACAGGUGGUCAGGUAGAGAAUACCAAGGCGCUUGAGAGAACUCGGGUGAAGGAACUAGG
rnacentral:rRNA from 1 species